rnacentral:misc_RNA from 1 species
AUUUUGAACGAAACAUCGAAUGUCUGAACGUGCAAAACUUGUAGUUACCAUAAUUGAAGUGCGUCGUCGGACUAUGUGAAUAUAUCGAUACAGUCUGCAACGGUGAAACUCGUGAGCGCAAAUAUUUUGAAGCAGCAGCAGCUGUUGCUCGAGUGGCGCUCAUUAAGCCGGAAGCAGCUUGGAAUUUGGCGUCGUUUAAGAAACAUCGGCGGAAUUUCUCUGUUAUCGCAUUACGCGACCGCGAUUACCAUUAUUCACGAGUCCAUAAGCCUAUGAAAGCACGGACUGCCGAAUAUUUGGACUGCAUUAAUUGCCGAAGAAAAUGCUUCGGCAUACGCAUAGAAUCGAGAGCAAUAAAGGUAUUCGAACUUCGAACAAUCAAUGGCACGUUUGAUUCGAUUGGGAGAUUAUUUAGAACUGGGUUUUGAAGGAUUUUGUGGAGAUAUAUCAAGAGAAAGUUUUAUUGUAC